GGCUGCGUAGUGUAGGGGUUAUCACAUCAGAUUCUGACUUUGGGAACUCCGGUUUGAUGCCGGCUGCAGCCU